rnacentral:rRNA from 1 species
UACGGGGGGGGCAAGCGUUGUUCGGAAUUACUGGGCGUAAAGGGCUCGUAGGUGGCCAACUAAGUCGGACGUGAAAUCCCUCGGCUUAACCGGGGAACUGCGUCUGAUACUGGAUGGCUUGAGUUCGGGAGAGGGAUGCGGAAUUCCAGGUGUAGCGGUGAAAUGCGUAGAUAUCUGGAGGAACACCGGUGGCGAAGGCGGCAUCCUGGACCGACACUGACGCUGAGGAGCGAAA